UGCUGAUUGGUGGCUGCAUACAUAAUCCUCUUGUCAUUGGCUCUAGCUCCUACUAAGGUUGCCAGCUCUCCUCCACAAAAAUACUGGAUAACCUGUAGCAGUGGCACAGAUGAGAGAUGAAGAACAAGGCAAGGAGCCUUGUGAGGAAGGCGAGCGAUUUGAAGAUCCCCUCUAUAAAGAAGUUAGGCCCACCAUGAGAGCAAAGACUGCCUGUGUGUCGUCUCCUACUAGUAUCAAGUUCACCAAAGUCAGC